rnacentral:rRNA from 1 species
UAGCUUUUAGAUUUAUAUUAAAAGUUCUGCCUGCCCGGUGAAAUAUUUUUAACGGCCGCAGUACUUUGACUGUGCUAAGGUAGCAUAAUAAAUUGGCUUUUAAUUAAAGUCGGGAAUGAAAGGAGAUUCGGAAAGAAACUGUCUUAAAAUAUUUUAUAUUAAUUUAAUUUUUUGAGUGAAAAUUCUCAUAAUUUUUUUAUUAGACGAGAAGACCCUAAGAGUUAUAAUUAAAGUAAUUAUUUAUUACUUAUCAUUUUUGUUGGGGCAACAAAGACUGGAAAAAACCGUCAUGAUUUAAUUUUUACAUAACCAGCAUAUUUAAUAAGAAAUAAACUACCUUAGGGAUAACAGCAUAAUUAAUUUUUAGAUUGUGACCUCGAUGUUGGAUUAAGGACUUUAUUUACUAGCCGUAAAUAAAGAUAGUUCUGUUCGAACUUUUAACCUU